CCUACGGGUGGCAGCAGUCGAGAAUCAUUCACAAUGGGGGAAACCCUGAUGGUGCGACGCCGCGUGGGGGAAUGAAGGUCUUCGGAUUGUAAACCCCUGUCAUGUGGGAGCAAAUUAAAAAGAUAGUACCACAAGAGGAAGAGACGGCUAACUCUGUGCCAGCAGCCGCGGUAAUACAGAGGUCUCAAGCGUUGUUCGGAAUCACUGGGCGUAAAGCGUGCGUAGGCGGUUACGUAAGUCGUGUGUGAAAGGUGCGGGCUCAACCCGCGGACGGCACAUGAUACUGCGAGACUAGAGUAAUGGAGGGGGAACCGGAAGUCUCGGUGUAGCAGUGAAAUGCGUAGAUAUCGAGAGGAACACUCGUGGCGAAGGCGGGUUCCUGGACAUUAACUGACGCUGAGGCACGAAGGCCAGGGGAGCGAAAGGGAUUAGAUACCCGGGUAGUC
rnacentral:rRNA from 1 species